ACUUUUAUAGGGAUAGAAGUAUUCCAUUGGUCUUAGGAGCCAAAAACUUGGUGCAACUCCAAAUAAAAGUA
rnacentral:tRNA from 1 species